rnacentral:lncRNA from 1 species
AUUUUUUCAUUAGCAGUAAUCUCAAGGAAACAGAAUGGUCUAUCAGUCAAUUUAACAUUAAAGCAGUUUUUCUUUUUUGUUCUGAGAAAGCAAGAAUGUUGAUGCCAAGAGCACUAAAUGGAAAAAGCAGAAAUCACAUAAGUUCCCCUUUACACAGGCGAAACUACUCUACAUGGCCCUUGGAAGUAUUAGCUUGUGAACAUCCAAUCAAAAAUAAAUGGGUUAUUUCUAGGACUAUAUUUCGAAGUGCUUGGUGAGCAAUUUAGAGCUCUGGAGAACAUACAUUACGACAUUUGAAAAUCUAUAAGAAUGGCUCAUUUUCGAAGAAUCUGCGAUAAUAGCUCAUAUCUGAAGAACGAAUUAUAUUAAUAUGGGCUGCAAAACCAUCUCUGUGAAAGUUGUGGAACCUUAAACUAUUUAGAAUUGCAGAACCAUCCCCAUUUGGUCUGAUGUGCAGAUGCUGGGCCUCGAUCCUGGAGCCUGGGCAGAUGGGCCUGACUUCUGAGGGUGCCUGUCUUACCUCUCGAGUGAAGUAAGAAAUGAAGAAGAAUGGGAGCCACCAUUCUCAGUGGCCAGGCCAGGAAUGUUUACUCUCCCUGAGACUAGAGAUGUGGAACGCAAGUCCAGGAGUCAGGAAGAUAUCAACUGAAGAAAUGCUCAGAGUGGGGAGUUUGCAGGAGAGGCAUGUUCUUAUCCAGAAGACCCAGCAUCCCUGCACCAUCCAGGUCUCCUCAUUUCCAAGAGUGACCUCUUGUCUCCAGAUGCCUGAGAUGAGAAAGCCCAGGAGCCGCACCACUGCUAAGCAGCAGGCCACCACAGAUGAGAGCGCAGGCCCUGGGACUCGCGUCGGCUGCCCCCCCACACCGCUGCUCAGGGACGACAGGGAGCACGGAAGGACAGGGUGCAGGAAUGAAAGCUAUAGUGGUAUCUUCUGUGACUUUUGGACUGACCCUAGGUUACUCAAGGAUGAGAGCUGGUUGCCAGAGGAGCCAACUGUGUGAUUAGAGGUCUGGAAAUUUCUGGACCUCCAGGAGGUUAAAGAAGUUGGAAGUUGAAUCAGUCACCAGUAGCUAAAGAUUUAAUCAGUCAUAUUUAAGUAAUGGGGCCUCCAUAAAACCCCAUAGGGAUAGCGUUCGGACAGGUGGGCUGGUGAACAAGUGAAGAAUCGGGAGAGUGAAUUGCUCAGAGAUGACAGGAAGCUUCCCAUCCUAUCCUCACACCUUGCUGUAUACAUCUCAUCCAUCUGGCUG